rnacentral:rRNA from 1 species
ACCAGACUCCUACGGGAGGCAGCAGUGGGGAAUAUUGCACAAUGGGGGAAACCCUGAUGCAGCAACGCCGCGUGAAGGAAGACGGUUUUCGGAUUGUAAACUUCUGUUCUUAGUGAAGAAGAAUGACGGUAGCUAAGGAGCAAGCCACGGCUAACUACGUGCCAGCAGCCGCGGUAAUACGUAGGGGGCAAGCGUUAUCCGGAUUUACUGGGUGUAAAGGGAGCGUAGACGGCAGAGCAAGUCUGAAGUGAAAGCCCGCGGCCCAACUGCGGGACUGCUUUGGAAACUGCCCGGCUAGAGUGCUGGAGAGGUAAGUGGAAUUCCUAGUGUAGCGGUGAAAUGCGUAGAUAUUAGGAGGAACACCAGUGGCGAAGGCGGCUUACUGGACUGUAACUGACGUUGAGGCUCGAAAGCGUGGGGAGCAAACAGGAUUAGAUACCCCCGUAGAC